rnacentral:lncRNA from 1 species
UUGAGUUUGAUGUAUCCCGGGUUCAACUUUAAGCUCAAGUAAAUUAGGUAUUAUUAGUUAACGCUUUAUAUGUUACUUUAUCUCUUUCAAAUAUUGUUGAUUUGAAUUUUUGAGUAAUAAGUAGUGACUGUUUUGUAUUUGUAUUGUUUUGCGAGGACUAAUGCUAUUGACUUUGGUGUUUAACGUGAUCAAGCUCAAGUUACUUAGGUAUUAUUAGUUAAUGCCUUAUGUUGUAAUUUGUCUUUUUUAAAUUAUACUGAUUUAAAUUUUAAGUAAUGAGUAGUGACUAUUUUGCAUUUGUUUUUUUUUGCGAGGACUUAUGCUAUUGACUAAAGGACUCGAUUGGAUGUACCUCGUUAAUUGCGAUGCCUAUGCCUAGGUACUUUCAAAUAUAUAUUUUCACACUUUUAAAUAUUGACUUACGGAACAUUUUGCUUAAAUGUUAGAUGUAUUUUGGACCGUAAUUAACUUGGUUUGAAUUCCCCGGGUUCAACUUUAAGCUCAAGUACAUUAGGUAUUAUUAGUUACGCCUUAUGUGUUACUUUAUCUGUUUUAAAUAUUUUGAUUAUAUUUUUUGAGUAAUAAGUAAGUUACUGUUUUGUAUUUGUAUUGUUUUUGCGAGACUAAUUCUAUUGUCCUUUGGUGUUUAAUAUGAAUCAUGCUCAAGUUAAUUAGGUCUUAUUUGUUAAUGUUCCUUAUGUUUGUAUUCUCUCUUGAAAUUGACUUAUUUAAUUUUAAGUAAUGAGUGAGUGCUAUUUUGCAUUUGUUUUGUUUUGCGAGAAUUUAUGCUAUUACUAAAUGACUCGAUUGGAUGUACCUCUUAAUGCAUGCCUAUGCCUAGGUACUUUCAAAUACAUUUUUCUACAGCCUUUACUUAUUGAGGUACGUGACCAUUUGGCUUUAAAUGUUGUUUGAUCUUGGACUGUAAUUAACUUGAGUUUGAUUAUCCCGGUUUCAACUUAAGCUCAAGUAAUAGGUAUUAUUAGUUAACGCCUUUAUGUGUUACUUUAUCUCUUUCAAAUAUUGUUUGAUUUGAUUUUUGAGUAAUAAGUAGUGACUUUUUGUCUUUGUAUGUUUGGGGGCUAGGACUAUUGCUAUGACUUUGGUGUUUAAAUUAUCAGCUCAAGUUACUUAGUAUUCUUAGUUAAUGCCUUCUGUUGGUAAUUUGUCUUUUUUAAAUUAUACUGAUUUAAAUUUUAAUUAUGAGUAGUGACUAUUUUGCAUUUGUUUUGUUUUGCGAGGACUUAUGCUAUUGACUAAGGACUGCGAUUGGAAUGUACCCGUAAGUUGCGAUCCAUGCCUAGGUACUUUCAAAUAAUAUUUCCACAUUUUUAAAUAUUGAGGUAACUAACAUUUGCUUUAAUGUUUGUAUCUGUAUCUUGGACCGUAACUAACUUGAGUUUGAACUUCCCUGGGUUCCACUUUAACUCAAGUAAAUUAGGUAUUAUUAGUUAACGCUUUUGUGUUACUUUAUCUCUUUCAUAAUGUUGAUUUGAUUUUUGAGUAAUAAGUAGUGACUGUUUUGUAGUUUUAUAUUGUUUUUGCGUGAGGACGGGAAUAUAUUGACUUGGUGUUUAACAUGAUCAAGCUCAAGUUACUUAGGUAUUUAUUAGUUAAUGCCUUAUGUUUAAUUUGUCUGUUUGAAAUUAUACUGAUUUAAAUUUUAAGUAAUGAUAUGACUAUUUUGCAAUUUGUUUUGUUUUGUGAGGACUUCUGGUAUUGACCAAGGACUCGUUGGUGUACCUCGUUAAUUGCGAUGCCUAUGCCAAGUACUUUCAAUACAUAUUCGACACCUUUAAAUAUUGAGGUACCGUAACAUUUGCGUUAAAUGUUUUGUAUGUUUAAUCUUAGCCCGUAAAUUACUUGAGUUUGAAGUUCCUCGGGUUCACUUUAAAGCUCAAUGUAAAAUAGGUAUUGUUAGUUACCGCCUUUGUUGUACUUUAUCUUCUUCAAAUCAUGUUGAUUUGAAUUUUUUGCGUAGAAGUAGUGACUGUUUUGUAGUUCUAUUGUUUUGCGAGGACGAAUGCUAUUGAAUUUGUGUUUAACAGAUCAAGCUCAAGUUACUAGGUAUUAUAUUGAAUGCCUUUGUUGUAAUUUGUCUUUUUGAAAUUAUACUGAUUUAAAAUUUUUAAGUAAUGAGUAGUGGCUAUUUGCAUUGGUUUGUUUUGCGAGGACGUAUGCUAUUGACUAAAGGACUCGAUUGGUGUACCUCGUUAAUUGGCGAUGCCUAUGCCUAGGUUACUUUCAAAACAUUUUUGCACACUUUUAAAUAUUGAGGUACGUAACAUUUUGGGUCUUUUAAAUGUUGCAAUGAAUCUUGGACGUAAUUACUUGAUUUUGAACUUCCCCGGAUUCAACUUUAGCGCAAGCAAAUUUAGUAUUAUUAGUUAACGCUUUUGUGGUUACUUUUAUCUGUUUUAAAUAAGUUGAUUUAUAUUUUUGCGUAAUAAGUAGUUACUGUUUUGUUAUGGUAUUGUUUUGCGAGGACUAUGCUAUUGCUUUGGUGUUUAACAUGAUCAAGCACAAGUUCUUAGGUAUUUUAUUAAUGCCUUAUGUUGUAAUUGUCUUUUUGACAUUGUACUGAUUUAAAUUUAAGUAUGAGUAGUGACUAUUUUGCAUUUGUUUGUUUUGCGAGGACUUAUGCGAUUGACUAAAGGACUCGAUUGGAUGUACCUCGUUAAUUGCGAUGCCUAUGCCUAGGUACUUUCAAAUACAUAUUUCCACACUUUUAAAUAUUGAGGUACGUAACAUUUGCUUUAAAUGUUGUAUAUGUACUUGGACCGUAAUUAACUUGAGUUUGAUGUUUCCCGGUUCAACUUUAAGCUCUAGUAAAUUAGUUAUUAUUAGUUAACCCUUUUAUUGUUACUUUUAUCUCUUUCAAAUUUUUUUUAUUUGCCUUUUUGCGUGCCUCCGUCGUUCCUGUUUUGUCUUUUUUACUUGUUUUUUGGGCGCGUCUACUGCUCCUUAUCCUUUGUGUUUUUCCCCUUCUCCCUCUCCCUUUCCUUUCGUUCUUCUUCUUUCCCUGCCUAUUGUUGUAUUUGUCUUUUUUAAAUUAUACUGAUUUUAAAUUUUUAAGUAAUGAGUAGUUACUAUUUUGCAUUUGUUUUUUUUUGCUAUGCCUUAUGUCUAUUGACCCAGGACUCUGAUUGGAUGUACCUCGUUAAUUGCGAUGCCUAUGCCUAGGUACUUUCAAAUACAUAUUUUCACAACUUUAAU